GCCGGGAACCUGAGCCGGGAGCUGCGGGCCGCUCUCUGGGAAGCCGGACUGACCUCCCCACGUCACCCCUGCGAGUCUCAGCUCUGAACGUCUCCCUGCACCUCUGAGGAGCCCGGCCUGGAAAACCCCUAAAACAUAAUUUUUUGCCUCAAGACAGAAGAUGGGCAUUCCAGGGAGAGGAGAGCUGCCCAGUCACGUGCCCUGCCCACCAGGUCCGGGACCCUUGGUCUGUAGAAGACACUGAGGGCGUGGAUGGUGGACCUGGCCACCCAGCUGUAGCUUUUUGGGUUCCCGCGGUCCCAUUUCUGGGGUCAGUCUCCUCACACCUGCCUGCUCUCAGGAAGACCCCCGGGGCACCUCACACUCCUGGGGGCAGCAGGAAUUGGCUUCAGUGCGGGACCAGGGGCCCCACUGGGUAUUUGGAAUCCCUGAUCUGGGACAGGCACUGGCAGCAGGGUCGCGGCCUGGCCUGGACUCUGGUGUGUCCCGUUUGAAGAAACCCCGCCCUGUGAAAGUUCAAGUUUAGCAUCCAAUGACCCAUUUAAGAGGUUUGCUGAGCCACGUUGCAGGAGGGUCUGGGUGCAAACGGAGGUGGCAACACACAGAGCGAGCCUUGAGCACCCAGGUUGUCCCCGGGGCCUCCAGUCCGACCUGGGGGCUCCUGCCGGCCUGUGGAGCAGCCCCCUGGGAUCAGGGACAGGGCUGAGCUGGGGAGUGUGCAGGAUUGAUUAAUGAUGUCUGCCACGGUCGGGCCAGCUGCUGUGUUUCUGGGGCCCAGAAGCUGAAAAUGGUUGGAAAAAAAUCAAAAGAUUAAUAUUUGUGACAUAUGAGAAUGCUAUGAAAGUCAACUUUGCUAUCCAUAAAUAAAGUUUUAUUGACA